rnacentral:rRNA from 1 species
CCAGACUCCUACGGGAGGCAGCAGUGGGGAAUAUUGCACAAUGGGGGAAACCCUGAUGCAGCAACGCCGCGUGAGUGAGGAAGUAUUUCGGUAUGUAAAGCUCUAUCAGCAGGGAAUAGAAAAGAAGGUACCUGAAAAAGAAGCCCCGGCUAACUACGUGCCUGCAGCCGCGGUAAUACGUAGGGGGCGAGCGUUAUCCGGAUUCACUGGGUGUAAAGGGAGCGUAGACGGCCAUGCAAGCCAGGGGUGAAAGCCCGGGGCCCAACCCCGGGACUGCCCUUGGAACUGCAUGGCUGGAGUGCGGGAGGGGCAGGCGGAAUUCCUGGUGUAGCGGUGAAAUGCGUAGAUAUCAGGAGGAACACCGGCGGCGAAGGCGGCCUGCUGGACCGCGACUGACGUUGAGGCUCGAAAGCGUGGGGAGCGAACAGGAUUAGAUACCCCCGUAGUG